rnacentral:rRNA from 1 species
CCUACGGGUGGCAGCAGUGGGGAAUAUUGGACAAUGGGCGAAAGCCUGAUCCAGCCAUGCCGCGUGUGUGAAGAAGGCCUUCGGGUUGUAAAGCACUUUCAGUGGGGAAGAAAGCCUUGGGGCUAAUACCCUCGAGGAAGGACAUCACCCACAGAAGAAGCACCGGCUAACUCCGUGCCAGCAGCCGCGGUAAUACGGAGGGUGCGAGCGUUAAUCGGAAUUACUGGGCGUAAAGCGCGCGUAGGCGGUCUGAUAAGCCGGUUGUGAAAGCCCCGGGCUCAACCUGGGAACGGCAUCCGGAACUGUCAGGCUAGAGUGCAGGAGAGGAAGGUAGAAUCCCCGGUGUAGCGGUGAAAUGCGUAGAGAUCGGGAGGAAUACCAGUGGCGAAGGCGGCCUUCUGGACUGACACUGACGCUGAGGUGCGAAAGCGUGGGUAGCAAACAGGAUUAGAUACCCGAGUAGUC